rnacentral:ncRNA from 1 species
GAUCAAGCGUCUUAAGGGCAUCUGGUGGAUGCCUUGGCUUCGAGAGGCGAUGAAGGACGUGGCAGGCUGCGAUAAGCUGCGGGGAGGGGCCAGCACCCUUUGAUCCGCGGAUUUCCGAAUGGGGAAACCCACCCGUAAGGGUAUCUUAUUCUGAAUUCAUAGGAAUAAGAGGCGAACCCGGGGAACUGAAACAUCUCAGUACCCGGAGGAAAGGACAUCAAUUGAGACUCCGUUAGUAGUGGCGAGCGAACGCGGACUAGGCCAGUGGUCUAUGGUUAAGAACGAAAACAGUCUGGAAAGGCUGGCCAGAGUGGGUGAUAGCCCCGUAUCGGUAGAAAUUCCAUAGAUCCUUGAGUAAGGCGGGACACGUGUAAUCCUGUCUGAACAUGGGGGGACCACCCUCCAAGCCUAAGUA